AUUGAACGCUGGCGGCAUGCCUAACACAUGCAAGUCGAGCGGAGCGGCGGACGGGUGAGUACUGCCUAGUAAUCUGCCUGGUAGUGGGGGAUAACGUCCGGAGACGGGCGCUAAUACCGCAUACUAUCAGAUGAGCCUAGGUGGGAUUAGCUAGUUGGUGGGGGAAAGGCCUACCAAGGCGACGAUCCGUAACUGGUCUGAGAGGAUGAUCAGUCACACUGGAACUGAGACACGGUCCAGACUCCUACGGGAGGCAGCAGUGGGGAAUAGUGGGCAAUGGACGAAAGCCUGAUCCAGCCAUGCCGCGUGAGUGAAGAAGGUCUUCGGAUUGUAAAGCACUUUAGGUUGGGAGGCGUUACCAACACAGAAAGCACCGGCUAACUUCGUGCCAGCAGCCGCGGUAAUAC
rnacentral:rRNA from 1 species